rnacentral:tRNA from 2 species
GGGCGCUUGGCUCAGUUGGUUAGAGCGCCGCCCUUACAAGGCGGAGGUCACAGGUUCGAAUCCCGUAGCGCCCA